rnacentral:rRNA from 1 species
GAUGAACGCUAGCGGCAGGCUUAAUACAUGCAAGUCGAGGGGCAGCACGGGUAGCAAUACCUGGUGGCGACCGGCAAACGGGUGCGGAACACGUACGCAACCUUCCCAUAACUGGUGAAUAGCCUUCCGAAAGGGAGAUUAAUACACCGUAACAUAACGAAAGGCAUCUUUUGUAUUAUAGGCUUCGGCCGGUUUUGGAUGGGCGUGCGCCUGAUUAGGUAGUUGGCGGGGUAACGCCCACCAAGCCUGCGAUCAGUAACUGGUGUGAGAGCACGACCAGUCACACGGGCACUGAGACACGGGCCCGACUCCUACGGGAGCAGCAGUAAGGAAUAUUGGUCAAUGGACGAAAGUCUGAACCAGCCAUGCC